UGCCAGCCGCCGCGGUAAUACGUAGGGGGCAAGCGUUGUCCGGAUUUACUGGGUGUAAAGGGCAUGUAGGCGGAUGAAUUAGUCAGGGGUGAAAGCCCCGAGCUCAACUUGGGAACUGCCUUUGAUACAGGUAGUCUUGAGUUCGAGAGAGGUGAGUGGAAUUCCGAGUGUAGAGGUGAAAUUCGUAGAUAUUCGGAGGAACACCAGUGGCGAAGGCGGCUCACUGGCUCGAUACUGACGCUGAGGCGCGAAGGCGUGGGUAGCGAACGGGAUUAGAUA
rnacentral:rRNA from 1 species